rnacentral:lncRNA from 1 species
UAAGUGGGCACAUGGGAGCACCCUCAGCUCCCUCUCCAUGGGAUACCCUGUGGGGCACUUCAGAGUCCCCACCAGCAAGAAGGCUCUCUCUCACCAGAUGUGCCCCCCGCCAACCUUGGAUGUCUCAGUCUCCAGAACUCAGAUGAGCCAGCUCCCUUGUGAAGCUGUAAGAACAUGGUACUUACAGGAGUAAGGCUCAUGAAGUGGAGAGAUGAGAAGACUUUCGGGACAGAUUGUGUGGAGGCUGUCAUUCUCCUCGUGACAUUGCUGUGGGAGAAGAAGGAGGCAUUCCAUGUUGGCUUCAGUGAAGAACUUCAGGGAGUUAAUUGAAGAUACAAUACAGUCAAGCAACAGGAGGAAAGAAACAACAAAUGGGAGACAUGAGGUUCCGAGGAUCAUGGUUCCAACACAGGACAGCAGAAAAGAGGAGUUGCAAAAUGACUGCUACAAAACAGACUUAAAGAGAAAACAUUCCAGUUUCACGUAGGAGGACAAAAGAAAAAACAAAACAACAUGAACAUCCAUUCUCUGCUUCUUUUCAGAGAAGGAUGGAGCAAAUGCCCCAGAUGAAGCCUACACGACAUGAGUCAGAGAACUUUGGCCAGGAUGUCUGGGGAAAAAGUUUCCUCUUUCUUCUCUGGGAACUAUCUGGAGAGGGUUGUUUUAACGCUGGAUGUGAACAGCGACUCGUGUAGCCCCAGAAGCCUCUGACAGCCGCGUUGGAAUCAUAAGUUCUCAAAAUGAAGGUUGUGGUCUAGAAAGCAUAUUGUGAUUUGUACAAGAAGCACAUUCCCAUUUUACAAAAGUACAAAAGCACAUUUUGGACUUUUAACAAAUUCAACUGUUUUGUGUUCUGUGUGAGUAAAUUUUAGGUUGCCCAUCAUUGAAAACCAGUUUAAAAAAAAAUAAUGGGAGUAGAUAAUCCAGACAACAUUUUCUACCGUAUUUGUUGACUCCAGUUGUUGGAAAGUAAAAUUCUGGAGGAAGAGCUGGGAUAUCUCCAGGGGCUUAGUUUAACAUCAUCAAAGACUCUCCUGCUCCCCCUUUGCAUGUUACAGUAUCUGCUUUACCAAUCAGAGGGAAAUUUAUCAUGUAGGAUUUAAAGGAGAUAUUUAUGGCGUCCGUAAGCACAAUGACUUUGACUGGUAAGACGUCAGCUAUUCCCUUUAGGAGAUAAAAGGCCACAGCUGGUGAGGUAAUAGAACAGGAACUGUUUCAAUAUUUCAAAACAGAAGACCUUGUUGAAGAAGAGAGAUUUUAUAUGGCAUUUGCUUUUAUUUUUUUCCUUCUAUGAUGAACAGGUGUGGGAGUCAAUUCAAGAAGGCAGCUUAGAUGAUUGUGAGACAAGGGAGGGAGGUAAAUAUUUUUGAUGGUUGGGGAAGGACUGAGAUUUUCAAACUUCAAACCAAACAUGUAGUCCAAGCCUUUUCUACCUGUGUACACAAAGGAAAGAGGAAACUAAGUCAAUGUAAAAUAGGCAGUUGUUGUUUGGAAAAGUUAUGAAAUCCUCCUGGCUACACAAAACAGAAAGCCCAGCUAUGUGACAAGUGUUUGAUGUAAAUAUGCAAAUGCAGUUUUAAAUUCAUUAUACCUAAGGGAACAAGGUGUCUGGGUAAGGGGGGUUCUACUGUUUCUUAAGCUUACAAAGCAGGUCCUUGAAUAAUGUCAUUUAAGUUCAAUGUAAUUUCCUUAUAAUGUUGAUGAGAAAAAAAAAAUGGAUUCCUAGCUGAAGUCAUUGUGUGUGUGGACUUUGCAUGUCCUCCCCAUGUCUGGUUUCCUCCCAAAACCCAAAGCUGUGUCCGUUAGAUGAAUCAGUGUGUCUCACUGGUCCCAGCGUGAGUGAGUGUUGCUAUGUAUGAGUGGGCCCUGCAAUGGGAAUGGUGACCUGUCUGGGGCUGGUUCCAGCCUGGUACCCUGAGCUACCAGAAGUGGCUCUGGCCCCUUGAGCUUCUGAACUUGAAUAAGUGGGUAAAUUAUUAUCUUACUUGUUUUUGUUAACCUUUCUUAAGUGUAUGUGUAGCUCACCUUCCUUUCAAAGUUAUUUUGAUGUUUAUUUCAAUAUUAGAAGUGUUUGGGUCUUUCUUUAGAAGUUUGGUGAUUUUUUUUUUUGUGACCAAAAUAUGCUGUAGCAACUUAACUCUUGUUUAGAUCGGUUAGCUUAUAGCAAAGCUAUUUUCGUUAUGUGUUCUUUCACUUGAAGUUCCAGUUUCCAAGAACCUAUUGUCCAAGAUAAGUAAGGACUUACUGUACUUCUGGGCACACAAUGGGCUAAGCAUCUUAUAUUAUCAAAUGAGAUGAAAUAAAAUAUAAUGCUAAAAUGAUGUUAAAAAGUUAUCACAUUAUAACAAAUUAUAAGAAUUAUUAAAAUGACAGGAUAUAUUAAAGCACUGUAAAAAGUAAAGCUUAGUAGAUGCAUUAGAGGUUAUGAUUGGCAUUGCUAACAUUAUUAUUAUUAAAAUCCUUCAGUGCUGGGCACCACUUAUUUCUACCCUUAUAACCCCAUGGACCUGUACUGUAUCUUGUAAUAAAACCCUCAAUAAAUAUUUGAUACAUUGCUGAAUAAAAGGUAGGUUGACUUCUUAAAGUACCUGCAAAAUACCUCAUCCACAAGAGAAAAAGGCAAGAGAAUAACCUUGCUUCAUGAAGAAAGUAUCGAUCAUUCAGGCGUUAAAUUUUCCAUUUGUUCAUUUUUUUUUUUUUCCAGCAGAAACUCUUGGAGAAAUUGCAUAGCAUUAUUUUAAACAAUUCCCCUCAGAGGCCCAUUAGAUAGGCUUUUCUGCAGACAGGAUAGAUGUCUUUUACAGCUGGUCAGUGUUUAGUUCUCCCAAUACUUGACUGAAGAAAGAAAAUAACUGGGAUGUAAGAUAUCUGACCUAUAGAUUGCUCAUUCUCUGCAUGAGUCAAUCUUUGAAGUCGGAAGAUAAAAAUCACCAUUAAUCACAAAACUUUCUUACCAUCAUAAGGUCAGAUAUCCCAGGGCCCUUCCAAAAUUACCACGUGGACUGGCAUAGGGCGAGAUUGGCUCAGCUGUGGUCACUUUUAUGACACAGAGCUCCUUCCCUCUGGUUGAUGAUAUUGAAUGAGCAGGAAGGAAGAAAAGAAAUAAAAGUCAGCUAACCAUGGUUGAGUCAAUCCAGCCCACGGCAUUCAAAGGCUGAAGGGCCACCUGACACUCCAGAGGCUGCUGGAAAUGCAGGGCUGUUUCAUCCUGGGGUGAGUUUCCGUUAGAAGAAAUACUGACUUGAAUGAAACAAAGAGUCCGUCCCUUGCUUUAUUGGACAAUGAAAGUUCCCAUCAUACUGAUCAAAGAUCGAGGAUUUGGGACAUGUGGGAAUGCAUUAAUAUCUCACCUGUGGCUGAGGCAGAUGUGUGUUUCCAAAUGAUAAUUUCUUUUCCUGCAAAGCCAGGUGUGUAAGGAGAACUAAGGGAAAAGGAAACUUUUUUUUCCUGUGAAAAUCUGGAUCCACUUCAAUCCAAUUCAGUUUCAAAAACAUUUAUUUACUUUGUGUCCCUUAAGUAAAUAGAAUAUUAUCCUGAAAACACAAAGAACAUAGAAACUGAAGUGAGAUAGGAAAUUAAAUGGAAAGGAAGGGAAGAGGGGAGAAAAACAGGGAGGAAGGAAAGAUUGCUGAGGGACCUUUUGUAUUGUGCUGUUUAAUAGACACAUUAUUGCUUUCAGUCCUCAAAGCAAUCUUGGGAGAAUGGUAUUGUUUAAUCAUUUGCCAGAUGAGGAAACUGAAACUCAGGGAGGUUCCUACUUGCCCAGGGAGGUAAAUAUUGUUCAUUCAAUUUUGCUUUUUGAUUUCUGAAUUAUUUUCUGUAUUUUUGGAAUUGCUCUCAUUUUGAUUCUUUGCAGUGGGGAUGGGACAGGAAACCUUGUAAUUGGAACAGAUAAUACUAGAUGAUUACUUUCCCCUCUUUCCCAGACUCCCUUGAAGCUAUGGCAAAGGCUCUGAUAACCACAGGCAUCUGCCGCAGAUUUUUCCUCAAAAGUUCCUGAGAGGGAAUGAGUGGAGAGUAUGCUUGUGCUCUCUGGCAGUGGCUCUUUCUCUGUCUCUCGCUCUGCUAUAAGAGCAGAUGACUCCAAUGAUGGUUAGUGGUGGCUACAGCGUUUUCCUUACGAAAGUGUUUCUGAGACUUAAUUUUGCAUUAUUGCUAGAAGCUGGGUCUUAUGCUUUUGUUUUCUGGCCCUUCUAAUACUCUAUUAGCUAUUCAAUAUCUUUUUCAAAAACACUUCAUUGUAGAUUAUUUAGCACAUUCAAAAAUAUAGAGAAUAGCAUAAUAAGCCUCCAUAUACCAAUUUCCUUCUUAAACAAUUAUCAACACAUGGACAAUCUUGCUUCAUCUGCACCCCUAUCCAUUUCCACAAUUACCUGGAUUAUUUCAAAUGAAUCUCGGGCCUCAUCUUAUUUCAUCUGUAAAAUGUUAAUUCUUUAUCUCUAAAAUAGAAAUAUUGUUUUACGAAUGAGCACAAUAUCAUUAUCCUACCUAAUGAUAGUUCCUUAAUAUUAAAUGUCUGUAUACAGAUGUCUGAUUAUCUUAUAAUUUUGAUACAUUUAUAAAAUAUCUUCAAAUCAGCAUCAAAAUAAGUUCCAUACACUAAAAUUGGUUGAUAUGUCAUUUAAAUUUCCUUUAAUGUAUAGAUUCAAUUUUCCUCUUACUCUUUUGUUUUUUAAACACAUUGUUUUCCUGUAGAAUUUCCCCCGUAAGAAUUUGCUAAUUGGAUCCUUGUGGUUUCACGUAUCAUGCUUUUCUGUCCCAUGUGUUUUCUGCAAAUUAUUAGUUGGAUCUAGAGGCUCAAUCACAUUCACCUUGGAUUCAUUUGGCAAGUCAACUUCAUAAAUGGUGCUGUGAGCCUCUAUUAGGGCAUAUAAAAUGUCUAAUUGUCUCCUUUUUCGUGAAGUCAGCAGUGAUUGAUGACUACUAUUUAGAUACACUAUAUCAUUAGGAGUAGCAGAAAGGUGAUAUUAUAAUUCUAUCAUACUCUUUAAAUUUGUUACCUGGAAUCCUUCCAUAAAGAGAAAAUUCUCAUACAUUAC